rnacentral:lncRNA from 1 species
UCCAGUUUCUAUCUGCAUUGGGAAUUGAUCCUGUGUCACAGUGCUCCAUACUCAAAUACCUCCUGGAGAGAGUGGGUCUCCCAGGAGUGUGGACAUACCUGUGAGUACAGGUAACACCACCACUUCUGCUCCAAGGACCCUCAGGACACAGGAACCAAGGAGCAGUGUUGGAUGGAAUCCUUCCAGUUUCUGUUUAAACCCUGAGAUGAUCCUGUGUCACAAUGUUCCAUACCCAAAAGCUCCAUGCCCAAAUACCUCCAGGAGAGAGAUGGUCUCCCAGGAAUACUGACACACUGGGGAGCACAGGUAAGAUCACCACUUCUGCUCAAAUUCCUGGCCCAAGAUGAACCUGCCCAUAGCCAUCAGAACACAGGAACCAAAAAAACAGCUUGGGACAGGAUCCUUCUGGUUUUCAUCUGCGCCUAAAAGCUGACCCUGUGCCAGAACUCACGAAAAACAAAUUCAUCCUGGAGAGAACUGGUCUCCUGGGAGGACUGACACAAAGGUCUGCAGGAGGGACAAGCCACAGUCAGAGACGGCAAGACCAGGUAACACCAGAGAUAAUCAGAUGGUUAGAGGUGAGAGGCAAGGGCAAGAACAUAAGCAACAGAAACGAAGGCUACUUGAGAUAAUCAGAACCCAGUUCUCCUACCACAUCGAGCCUUGGAUAACCAACACACUAGAAAAGCAAGACUCUGAUUUAAAAUCACAUCCCAUGAUGAUGAUAGAGGACUUUAAGAAGGACAUAAAUAACUCCCUUAAAGAAACACAUGAGAACACAGGUAAACAAGUAGAAACCCUUAAAGAAAAAAAAAACAAAAACAAAAACAAAAAAUCCCUUAAAGAAUUACCGAAAAACACAAACAAACAGGUGAAGGAAUUGAACAAAACCAUCCAGGAUCUAAAAAUGGAAAUAGAAACAAUAAAGACAUCACAAAGGGAGACAGCCCUGGAGUAAGAAAGCAUACAAAAGAGACCAGGAGUCAUAGAUGCAAGCAAAAAAAACAAAACAAAACAAAACAAAACAAAACAAAACAAAACAAAACAAAACAACCACCCUUGAGAUAGAAGAGAGAAUCUCAGGUGCAAAAGAUACCAUAGAAAACAUUGGCACUGGCCUCAAGCUAUAGUACAGAGCAAUUGUGAUAAAAAACAAACAAACAAACAAACAAACAAAAAACCUGCAUGGUACUAGUACAGCUACAGAUCAAUGGAAUAGAAUUGAAGACCCAGAAAUGAGCCCACACACCCAUGGUUACUUGAUCUGUGACAAAGGAGCUAAAACCAUCCAGUGGAAAAAAGACAGAAUUUUCAACAAAUGAUGCUGGCACAACUGGUGGUUAUCAUGUAGAAGAAUUCAAAUUGAUCCAAUCUUAUCUCCUUGUACAAAGAAUAAGUCUAAAUGGAUCAAAGAACUCCACAUAAAACCAGAGACACUGAAAUUUAUAGAGGAGAAAGUGGGGAAAAACCUCAAAGAUAUGGGCACAGGGGAAAAAUUCCUAAAAAGAACAGCAAUGGCUUAAGCUGUAAGAUCAAGAAUUGACAAACAGAACCUCAUAAAAUUGCAAAGCUUCUGUAAGGCAAAAGAUACUGUCAAUAAGACAAAAAGGCCACCAAGAGAUUGGGAAAGAAUUUUUACUAAUCUUAAAUCUGAUAGGGGAAUAAUAUCCAAUAUAUACAAAGAGCUCAAGAAGCUGAACUCCAGAAAUUCAAAUAACCCUAUUAAAAAAUGGGGUAUAGAGCUAAACAAAGAAUUUUCAACUGAGGAAUACCAAAGAGCUGAGAAGCACCUGAAAAAAAUGUUCAACAUCCUUAAUCAUCAGGGAAGUGCAAAUUAAAACAACCCUGAGAUUCUACCUCACACCCGUCAGAAUGGCUAAGAUCAAAAAUUCAGGUGACAGCAGAUGCUGGCAAGGAUGGGGAGAAAGAGGAACAUUCUUCCAAUGCUGGUGGGAUUGCAAGCUUGUACAACCACUCUGGAAAUCAGUAUGGUGGUUCCUCAGAUAAUUGGACAGAUCUUGCAAUACCUCUCCUGGGCAUAUACCUAGAAGAUGUUCCAACUGGUAAGAAGGACACAUGCUCCACUAUGUUCAUAGCAGCCUUAUUUAUAAUAGCCAGAAACUGGAGAGAACCCAGAUGACCCUAAACAGAGGAAUGAAUAUAGAAAAUGUGGUACAUUUACAUAAUGGAGUACUACUCAGCUAUUAAAAAUGAUGAAUUUAUGAAGUUCUUAGGCAAAUGGAUGUAUCUGGAGGAUAUCAUCCUGAGUGAUGUAAUCCAGUCACAAAAGAAGUCACUUGAUAUGCACUCACUCAUAUGUGAAUAUUAGCCCAGAAACUUAGACUACCCAAGAUACAAUUUGCAAAACACAAGAAAAUCAAGAAGAAGAAAGACCAAUGUGUGGAUACUUCAUUCCUCCUUAGCAUAGGGAACAAAAUACCCAUGGAAGGAGUUACAGAGACAAAGUUUGAAGCUAAGACAAAAGGAUGGACCAUCCAGAGACUGCCCCACCCGGGGAUCCAUCCCAUAAUCAACCACCAAACGCAGACAUUAUUGCAUAUGCCAGCAAGAUUAUGCUGAAAGGAACCUGAUAUAGCUGUCUCUUGUGAGGCUAUGCCAGUGCCUGGCAAAUACAGAAGUGGAUGCUCACAGUCAUCUAUAGGAUGGAACACAGGGCCCCCAAUGGAAAAUCUAGAGAAAGUACCCAAGGAACUGAAGGGGUCUGCAACCCUAUAGGUGGAACAAUAAUAUGAACUAACCAGUACCCCUAGCUCAUGUCUCUAGCUGCAUAUGUAGCAGAAGAUGUCCUAGUUGGCCAUCAUUGGGAAGAGAGGCCCCUUUGUCUUGCAAACUUUAUAUGCCCCAGUACAGGGGAUCGCUUGGGCCAAGAAGUGGGAGUGGGUGAGUAGGAGAUCAGGGUGUGGGGGAGAGUAUAGGGGACUUUUGGCAUAGCAUUUGAAAUGUAAAUUAAGAAAAUAUCUAAUAAGAAAUUUAAAAAAAGAAAAAGAAACAUUGGCAUAAGAGACAAAGAAAAUGCAAAAUGCUCCUAAGCAAAACAUCCAGGAAAUCCAGGACAGAAUGAGAUGACCAAAUCUAAGGUUAAUAUGUGUAAAGAGUAAAGAUUCCCAACUUACAGGACUAGUAAAUAUCUUCAACAAAAUUAUAGAAUAAAACUUCCCUAGCCUAAAGAAAGAGAUGCUAAUAAACAGAAAAGAAGCGUACAGAACUCAAAUAGACUGGGCCAGAAAAGAAAUCCCACCUGUCACAUUAUAGUCAAAACAUCAAAUGCACAAAACCAAGAUAGAAUAUUAAAAGUAGUAAGAGAAAAAGGUCAAGAUAUAUAAAGGCAAGCCUAUCAGAAUUACACCAGACUUCUCACCAGAGACUAUGAGAUCUAGAAGAUGUUAGGCAGAUGUUACACAAACACUAAUAGAACACAAAUGCCAACCCAGGCAACUAUACCCAACAAAACUCUCAAUUAAUACAGAUGGAGAAACUAAGGUAUUCCAUGACAAAACCCAAUUUAAACAAUAUCUUUCCACAAAUACAUCCCUACAAAGGAUAAUAACCAUAAAAUGCCAAUACAAGGAGGGAAAAUAUACCCUAGAAAAAGCAAUAAAAUAAUUUUCUUUCAACAAACCCAAAAGAAGAUAGCC